AUGAACGCUGGCGGCGUGCCUAAUACAUGCAAGUCGAGCGAACAGACGAGGAGCUUGCUCCUUCGACGUUAGCGGCGGACGGGUGAGUAACACGUAGGUAACCUACCUAUAAGACUGGGAUAACUUCGGGAAACCGGAGCUAAUACCGGAUAAUAUUUCGAACCGCAUGGUUCGAUAGUGAAAGAUGGCUUUGCUAUCACUUAUAGAUGGACCUGCGCCGUAUUAGCUAGUUGGUAAGGUAACGGCUUACCAAGGCAACGAUACGUAGCCGGCCUGAGAGGGUGAUCGGCCACACUGGAACUGAGACACGGUCCAGACUCCUACGGGAGGCAGCAGUAGGGAAUCUUCCGCAAUGGGCGAAAGCCUGACGGAGCAACGCCGCGUGAGUGAUGAAGGUCUUCGGAUCGUAAAACUCUGUUAUUAGGGAAGAACAAACGUGUAAGUAACUGUGCACGUCUUGACGGUACCUAAUCAGAAAGCCACGGCUAACUACGUG
rnacentral:rRNA from 1 species